UACGGAGGGAGCUAGCGUUGUUCGGAAUUACUGGGCGUAAAGCGCACGUAGGCGGCUUUGUAAGUUAGAGGUGAAAGCCCGGGGCUCAACCUCGGAACUGCCUUUGAUACUGCAAAUCUCGAGUCCGAUAGAGGUGGGUGGAAUUCCUAGUGUAGAGGUGAAAUUCGUAGAUAUUAGGAAGAACACCGGUGGCGAAGGCGGCCCACUGGAUCGGUACUGACGCUGAGGUGCGAAAGCGUGGGGAGCAAACAGG
rnacentral:rRNA from 1 species